rnacentral:tRNA from 1 species
UGGCGAAUCGUCUAAUGGCAGGACAAGGGACUUUGAAUCCCUUAAUGCAAGUUCGAUUCUUGCUUCGCCAUCCU